ensembl:lncRNA
GAGGAACUACCGCUACAGUCAACCCAACAUGGCGGAUCAGGCGGAGGCCAUGAAAUCUUCUGCCCAGAGUCACCAGAGAAGAAAGAGGCUGCUGGAUGCCAGGGAGACAGUCCUUGCUCCAGAUGAAGAGGACUUCUGGAAGGGCAUCACAACUGACAUGAUGUCAGAUGAAGAGGACGGCAGCGUUGACGGGGUGUGUGGAUGGAUAGUGUGGCUUCCAUCCUUCCACAGCCAGGAGCUAGCCAACCUGCCGCACUACAGACUGGAGGCUGAUGUGAGGAGUGGACAGCCGUCUGAUAGAGUGAAGCCACAUAAUCUGCUGCUGGAAAGAAGAAAUCCAACAGAGCGUGCUCAGAAACC